GCUGGGUGUGGUGGCGCACACCUGUAAUCCUAGCUACUUGGGAAGCUGAGGCAGGAGAAUCACUUUAACCCAGGAGGCAGAGGUUGCAGUGAGCCAAGACUGCACCACUGUACUCCAGCCUGGGUGACAGAAUGAGACUCUGUCUCAA
ensembl:misc_RNA Metazoa_SRP Metazoan signal recognition particle RNA